GCUAAGGGAUUUUGAGUUUUUGCUUGCAACGUUUGACCACUCGUCUUAUUCAAUUUUUUUUGAAAUUAUUAUUUAUUUUAUUUGUGACUUACUUUAUUAUCUACGGUACUUUAAGCACAAUUUUUCGUUUUUUAUAUUUGCAAAAAAAAAAUUUGAAUAAGACGAGCGGUCAAAUGUUGCAAGUAAAAACUCAAAAUUCCUUAUAUU
rfam:Oryza meridionalis cultivar OR44 (W2112) chromosome 1, whole genome shotgun sequence.